rnacentral:rRNA from 1 species
AGUGAACGCUGGCGGUAGGCCUAACACAUGCAAGUCGAACGGCAGCACAGUAAGAGCUUGCUCUUACGGGUGGCGAGUGGCGGACGGGUGAGGAAUACAUCGGAAUCUACUUUUUCGUGGGGGAUAACGUAGGGAAACUUACGCUAAUACCGCAUACGACCUACGGGUGAAAGCAGGGGAUCUUCGGACCUUGCGCGAUUGAAUGAGCCGAUGUCGGAUUAGCUAGUUGGCGGGGUAAAGGCCCACCAAGGCGACGAUCCGUAGCUGGUCUGAGAGGAUGAUCAGCCACACUGGAACUGAGACACGGUCCAGACUCCUACGGGAGGCAGCAGUGGGGAAUAUUGGACAAUGGGCGCAAGCCUGAUCCAGCCAUACCGCGUGGGUGAAGAGGGCCUUCGGAUUGUAAAGCCCUUUUGUUGGGAAAGAAAAGCAGCAGGUUAAUACCCCGCUGUUCUGACGGUACCCAAAGAAUAAGCACCGGCUAACUUCGUG